CAAGGUACUCCUCAAAGAGGCCACACUCCUCUUGUUGGAAAUUAUAUUACAAAGUCAAUCGUCAGUUUAUUGACCGUUGAGCUAAUCAUUAUAAUUGUAUAUGAAUUAUUAAAUUAAUAAAUAUUAUUUAGUUUUUCAUCACUGUGUGUACAUCUUAUUUGAACUCUUGUAUUUUGUGAUUAAGUCCUCAGGACUAUUUGAAUCGAUAUAAGAGGAUAUAUCGUUCAGUCCUUAAAUAUUGUUCAUGGUCCAAUAAUAUACUAUUAUUAGGAUGAUAGCUAUAUCAAGUGUAGAUUGUUGUGUGCCAUGUACGUUGGUUGUCCUUUUAACCAAGGAGUGUGGAGACACUAGCAUAGCAUGCAAGUGAGACAUAGAAGUAUAUCUCACUAAAUGUGACCUAUUGCUGAGUACUCUACUGUCAAGAGUAGCUUGCGAAGAAUAUGGAUAUAAGUGUCCCUCCGAUCUGAGAUUACCAC
rnacentral:lncRNA from 1 species